UAGCCUAGUUGUAAGGCUUUGGAUUGCCAAUCCGGAGACGGCGGGUUCGAUUCCCGU
rnacentral:tRNA from 1 species